GCCUACGGGUGGCAGCAGUGGGGAAUAUUGGACAAUGGGCGAAAGCCUGAUCCAGCCAUGCCGCGUGUGUGAAGAAGGCCUUCGGGUUGUAAAGCACUUUCAGUGGGGAAGAAAGCCUUGGGGCUAAUACCCUCGAGGAAGGACAUCACCCACAGAAGAAGCACCGGCUAACUCCGUGCCAGCAGCCGCGGUAAUACGGAGGGUGCGAGCGUUAAUCGGAAUUACUGGGCGUAAAGCGCGCGUAGGCGGUCUGAUAAGCCGGUUGUGAAAGCCCCGGGCUCAACCUGGGAACGGCAUCCGGAACUGUCAGGCUAGAGUGCAGGAGAGGAAGGUAGAAUUCCCGGUGUAGCGGUGAAAUGCGUAGAGAUCGGGAGGAAUACCAGUGGCGAAGGCGGCCUUCUGGACUGACACUGACGCUGAGGUGCGAAAGCGUGGGUAGCAAACAGGAUUAGAUACCCCUGUAGUC
rnacentral:rRNA from 1 species